UGAGGAAUUCUGGGAGUUGAAGUCCACGAAUCUUAAAAGUUGCCAAGGUUGGAGACCCCUGUUCCAGUGAGAGGAAAAUUGGAAUUAUUUUUUCCGCAACAGGAAACUCUCUUUGCAAUAGCCCCCCCCCCCCCAAUUCCUUCAGCUGUUUCAGGCUGCAGCCCCUCUCCUAAGCCAUCGUGGCCACUGGAUCAGGGGUAUUGAAGCCCCCCCACACAGCUGGAGGAAAGGGGGCCAAGCUCGGAGGCCUGCUCUUAGCAGCUCCUGGCAACAGAGAGGGAAGGGGGUUCUAGAUAACUGUUAGAGGUGUCUUGGGUUCUAAUGCUGCUCUACCUCCCCUGAUAUCUGUGGGCUUUGAGAUACUUGGCCAAAGUAGGUUAGGAAGUGAGGUGAGUGGAGGUCGCCGUUGUUUGAAGGUUUCUGGCUGGCCAGGUGAGAUUUCUGGCAGGUUGCACAGCCAUUCCUAAGUGUAGGGACUCUGUCAGAGCUGGGAAACCAUCGUUAUAAUCUCACUUUGAGGACAGGAUUUUAAGAAGGUUGCAGAUUCCGAAGGCCGAUCUAUAGAGAUGAUGAUCUGCCCCGAUUUAGAGGAGUUCCCAAAAGGGCGUGGUUUUAUUUGACUUUUAAGGUUGCUCAUCCAUCUUAUUGCGCUGUCACCCAAGCUGCAGAGUCUCUGUUUUCCCUUUUCCUUAAAUCAGGAGUCUCCAACCUUGGCCACUUGAAGACUUGUGGACUUCAACUCCCAGAAUUCCUCAGCCAGCGAAGCUUCGCUGGCUGAGGAAUUCUGGGAGUUGAAGUCCACAAGUCUUCAAGUGGCAAAGAUUGGAGACCCUUGUCUUAAAUCACAUUUUUUUUUCAAUCUGGGUAGACUCUCCACUCCCAGAAUUCUCACAGCUAGCUGGGAGUGGAGAGUCCACAACUCUUUUAAAGUUGUCACGUUUGAAGAACCGUGGAAGGCAGUCAAGAGAGACCUGAAAAAUUACAAUUGCACUAUUUUUUUUUUUAAAAAAAAAUCACAACAUGGAUGGAUCCAAACAUCCCUGCAUUGUUUAAAAAGGAAAAGCCAUUUUCUUUAUCCCAGAGUCACAAACUUUAACAGCUGCUUUCUUCUGAGGCUUAAGUUUCAUCCUAGAGACUUUAAUUUAAAAAAAAAACAGGAAAGCAACGUACAGCUCAUUCCAAAUUCCAGAAAUGCUAGCUCCAUUAAGCAAUAUCAAAAAUUCAGAUAGGUUUUUAUGACUCGGCUCCCGUUAACAUCUGGGCAGAUGUUAACAUCCCAACAUCGCUACCUGAGCAAUAGCGGCAAAGGGGGAAAAAAUGAAAUUAAUCUGUCAAUAUUGGCAUAGCAGGAAGGAUUUGCAACAAGACAUCCUUUUCACUUCCUUCUUUGCAGUUUAGAGAACCUCUCGUCUGCAAACUCUACCGGGCUGCAGAGAGAACAUUCUGGAACAGGCCUUCUCAACCGUGGCUGCUUGAAGAUGGGGUGGACUUCAACUCCCAAAAUUCCCCAGCCAACAACUCUUAAUUCUGGAAGUUGGAAGUCUACCUAUUUCCAAGCGGCCGUGGCUGAGAAACGCUGUUCUAGAACCCAAAACAGCCGGUGAUCCAAAAUUGAACAAUAAAUUGAAACUCGAGGCAACGGAUUCCUUCUUCGCUCAACAUCCAUUCUGGUGAAACAUCCCUCGUCUCCCCCGUAUCAACUCUUCCAACUAAAUUUGCACAAUUUCUUCCUGAAAAUGUCCUCUCUUUUUUUUUUCCAGCUUCCUAACCAAGCGAUGCAGAAUUACCAAUUUAACCUUCAACGUCGUUAAUCUGAAUCGUUUUAACCGAGGGAGUCCUGAUCUCACCCCGAUAAUUACGUUUAUAUUAAGUAUAUUUAUGUUUGCCUUGUCCACCCCCUUAAAAAGAAAUAAAACUGGCUCCCUGCACACUUCUUUUUAACGCACUUGAAAAAAAAAAUCACAAAUGCACACUGCGGGUUUUUUUAAAAAAUCCGAUUCCUUCCACUGUGUUGCUUCAAGCAAAUGUUUGAAGACGCUGGGGACGUUUAUUUCUCUUUUUGCUAGCAAAAGCUAAUUUUCUAAAAGCACUGAUUUAGUUUUACAAAAACCAGCAAGGAGGCAGUAGAUUUCUGUUCUAAAGGGUUCACUUUAGAAAUACCAGAAAGUACCAAAAAAAAAAAAAAGAUGCACAGAAGGGGGAUUUCGGAUGCUAAAUGGUGCUCAGAGCUGCCUGAGCUGUCAAUUUAAUGCCCAUUUGGCAAAAAAACCAACAUUUCUUAUCUGUGUUGACGUAAAUGUUCUUUGUAAAAAACAACAACGAAGAGAACACUGGUUGAACCUGGAAAUCCAUCCAUUAUUCCAGUAAAGUAUAACCAUGGUAAUAAAAACAAUAAUAAUAAUAAUAAUAAA